UAAAGCGCACGUAGGCGGCUUUGUAAGUUAGAGGUGAAAGCCUGGAGCUCAACUCCAGAAUUGCCUUUAAGACUGCAUCGCUUGAAUCCAGGAGAGGUGAGUGGAAUUCCGAGUGUAGAGGUGAAAUUCGUAGAUAUUCGGAAGAACACCAGUGGCGAAGGCGGCUCACUGGACUGGUAUUGACGCUGAGGUGCGAAAGCGUGGGGAGCAAACAGGAUUAGAUCCCCUGU
rnacentral:rRNA from 1 species